CUGGCGGCGUGCCUAAUACAUGCAAGUCGAACGCUUUUUCUUUCACCGGAGCUUGCUCCACCGAAAGAAAAAGAGUGGCGAACGGGUGAGUAACACGUGGGUAACCUGCCCAUCAGAAGGGGAUAACACUUGGAAACAGGUGCUAAUACCGUAUAACACUAUUUUCCGCAUGGAAGAAAGUUGAAAGGCGCUUUUGCGUCACUGAUGGAUGGACCCGCGGUGCAUUAGCUAGUUGGUGAGGUAACGGCUCACCAAGGCAACGAUGCAUAGCCGACCUGAGAGGGUGAUCGGCCACACUGGGACUGAGACACGGCCCAGACUCCUACGGGAGGCAGCAGUAGGGAAUCUUCGGCAAUGGACGAAAGUCUGACCGAGCAACGCCGCGUGAGUGAAGAAGGUUUUCGGAUCGUAAAACUCUGUUGUUAGAGAAGAACAAGGAUGAGAGUAAAAUGUUCAUCCCUUGACGGUAUCUAACCAGAAAGCCACGGCUAACUACGUGCCAGCAGCCGCGGUAAUACGUAGGUGGCAAGCGUUGUCCGGAUUUAUUGGGCGUAAAGCGAGCGCAGGCGGUUUCUUAAGUCUGAUGUGAAAGCCCCCGGCUCAACCGGGGAGGGUCAUUGGAAACUGGGAGACUUGAGUGCAGAAGAGGAGAGUGGAAUUCCAUGUGUAGCGGUGAAAUGCGUAGAUAUAUGGAGGAACACCAGUGGCGAAGGCGGCUCUCUGGUCUGUAACUGACGCUGAGGCUCGAAAGCGUGGGGAGCGAACAGGAUUAGAUACCCUGGUAGUCCACGCCGUAAACGAUGAGUGCUAAGUGUUGGAGGGUUUCCGCCCUUCAGUGCUGCAGCAAACGCAUUAAGCACUCCGCCUGGGGAGUACGACCGCAAGGUUGAAACUCAAAGGAAUUGACG
rnacentral:rRNA from 1 species